rnacentral:rRNA from 1 species
GGGGAGGGACCGUCAAAUUUUGCUAGUGCGCAGCGAAAUGGUAUUAAAAGCGUUGCUCCUUAUGACGUUAGCGGCGGACGGGUGAGUAACACGUGGGUAACCUGCCCGUAAGACUGGGAUAACUCCGGGAAACCGGGGCUAAUACCGGAUAAGAUCUUCAACUGCAUGGUUCAUGAUUGAAAGGCGGCUUCGGCUGUCACUUACGGAUGGACCCGCGUCGCAUUAGCUAGUUGGUGAGGUAACGGCUCACCAAGGCAACGAUGCGUAGCCGACCUGAGAGGGUGAUCGGCCACACUGGGACUGAGACACGGCCCAGACUCCUACGGGAGGCAGCAGUAGGGAAUCUUCCGCAAUGGACGAAAGUCUGACGGAGCAACGCCGCGUGAGUGAUGAAGGCUUUCGGGUCGUAAAACUCUGUUGUUAGGGAAGAACAAGUGCUAGAUUAAUAGCCUGUCACCUUAACGGUACCUACCCAAAAACCCACGGCUAACUACGUGCCACCACACCCGGGAUUAAAUAGGGGGCGGAAACGGUUUAUCCGGAAAUUAUUGGCCGUAAAACCCCCGCACAGGUGUUUCCUUAAUUCUGAGAUGAAAAAGCCCCACGGUUCAAACCGGGAAGGGGUCAUUGAAAACUGGGAAACUUAAGUGCAAAAAAGAAAACGGAAUUUCCAUGUAUACCGGUAAAAUGCUUAAAGAUAUGAAGGAACACCAGGGCCAGAAGGCGACUUUCUGGGUCUGUAACUGACACUAAGGCGCAGAAACCUGUGGGGAGCAAACGGAAUUAAAUACCCUGGUUAUUCCACCCCUGUAAACGAUAAGUCAUAAGUGAUAAAAGGUUUCCCCCCCUAUAGUGCUGAAACUAACCCAUUAAGUCACCCCCCCGGGAGAGUAAGGCCCCAAGGGAUGAAACUCAAAGAAAUUGACGGGGGCCCGCACAAGCGGUGGAGCAUGUGGUAAAUUAGAAGCAACGCGGAGCACCUUACCAUGUCGAGAUAUCCUGUGAAAACCCUAGAGAUAGGGCUUCUCCUUCGGGAGCAGAGUGACAGGUGGUGCAUGGUUGUCGUCAGCUCGUGUCGUGAGAUGUUGGGUUAAGUCCCGCAACGAGCGCAACCCUUGAUCUUAGUUGCCAUCAUUAAGUUGGGCACUCUAAGGUGACUGCCGGUGACAAACCGGAGGAAGGUGGGGAUGACGUCAAAUCAUCAUGCCCCUUAUGACCUGGGCUACACACGUGCUACAAUGGACGGUACAAAGAGCUGCAAGACCGCGAGGUGGAGCUAAUCUCCUAAAACCCAUUCUCAGUUCGGAUUGUAGGCUGCAACUCGCCUACAUGAAGCUGGAAUCGCUAGUAAUCGCGGAUCAGCAUGCCGCGGUGAAUACGUUCCCGGGCCUUGUACACACCGCCCGUCACACCACGAGAGUUUGUACACAUCCGACGAUGUACGGUGGGGUAACGAAGUGGUAACCAACGUAACCCUUGGUUUCCCCCC